rnacentral:rRNA from 1 species
AUUGAACGCUGGCGGCAUGCCUAACACAUGCAAGCCGAACGGUAGCAUGACUUAGCUUGCUAAGUUGAUGACGAGUGGCGAACGGGUGAGUAACGCGUAGGAAUAUGCCUUAAAGUGGGGGACAACUUGGGGAAACUCGAGCUAAUACCGCAUAAUGUCUAAGGACAAAAGCUGGGGACCUUCGGGCCUGGCGCUUUAAGAUUAGCCUGCGUACGAUUAGCUAGUUGGUGGGGUAAGGGCCUACCAAGGCGACGAUCGUUAGCUGGUCUGAGAGGAUGGCCAGCCACACUGGAACUGAGACACGGUCCAGACUCCUACGGGAGGCAGCAGUGGGGAAUAUUGGACAAUAGGGGCAACCCUGAUCCAGCAACGCCGCGUGAAUGAAGAAGGCCUUCGGGUUGUAAAGUUCUUUUAUCUGGGGGCAAAACGGUGCGGUGAAUAGCCGUAUGGGAUGAGAGUACCAGAGGAAUAAGCACCGGCCAACUACGUGCCAGCAGCCGCCGUAA